ACGGAAGGCAGCAGUGAGGAAUAUUGGUCAAUGGUCGGAAGACUGAACCAGCCAAGUCGCGUGCAGGAAGACGGUCCUAUGGAUUGUAAACUGCUUUUGUACGGGAAUAAAGUGGGGGACGUGUCCCCUUUGGAAUGUACCGUAAGAAUAAGGAUCGGCUAAAUCCGUGCCAGCAGCCGCGGUAAUACGGAGGACCCGAGCGUUAUCCGGAUUUAUUGGGUUUAAAGGGUGCGCAGGCGGAGGAUUAAGUCAGCGGUGAAAUUUUCAUGCUCAACAUGAAAACUGCCAUUGAUACGGGUCCCUUGAGAGCUGACGAGGAUGGCGGAAUUCGAUGUGUAGCGGUGAAAUGCUUAGAUAUGUCACAGAACACCGAUUGCGAAGGCAGCUGUCCAGAGAUCAUCUGACGCUCAGGCACGGAAGUAUGGGUAUCAAACAGGAUUAGAUACCCUGGUA
rnacentral:rRNA from 1 species